rnacentral:rRNA from 1 species
UACGUAGGGGGCUAGCGUUGUCCGGAAUCAUUGGGCGUAAAGAGCGUGUAGGCGGCCCGGUAAGUCCGCUGUGAAAGUCGGGGGCUCAACCCUCGAAUGCCGGUGGAUACUGUCGGGCUAGAGUGCGGAAGAGGCGAGUGGAAUUCCUGGUGAUAGCGGUGAAAUGCGCAGAUAUCAGGAGGAACACCAAUUGCGAAGGCAGCUCGCUGGGACGUUACUGACGCUGAGACGCGAAAGCGUGGGGAGCAAACAGG